UCUAGAUCUUUCGUUAUUUCGCAACGUUCAAAAACUCUCCUCCUCUUCCUUCCACAAGUAAAGGUCAGCGAAAAAUUGAAAUUUCAAAAUUCAAUUCUUCAAAUAUCCUGUUGGGGUUUUACAUUAUCGCGAUGGAGAGAUCGCACCUUCUUCUUAUGAAUUAUAAUUCCUCUCUCCGAUCAAUUGAAUUACAACAUGGCAUCUCUGAUUCGUUUGGGUUCAAACCAAUUCGGGAUUUGAUCUUGGGGUCGAUGAUGAUGAUUGAUAUGAGGAUUUAAUAUUUGUCUAUUGGUUUGAAUCCAAAUCUUGUGAUAGUCAUCACCAAAUCGAAGAAGGUGCAGUAAUUUUUUAAGUGAAGCUUUAAGCAAAAGCAAAUGAAGGGUCCAGAGAACAUAAAAUUCGAAGGUGAUUUUGUUUGUCGCUAAGAGCAUAUAAAAGGUUAGGUAUCUCUCCCUCUAUUCUCUCAUGUCUAUUUUUUUUUUGUCAUGAAUAGGUUCUCUGGGUCAUCUCAAAAAGUUUUACGCAUUUGGUUACUCACACUAUCUGACAACAUACACGAAAAAACACAAUCUUCUUACACACACGUUCACAGACACGAAACACACACAAAAUGAAAACACACACGUUCACGGUUACAAUACAACACAAUGCACUCAAAACUCAAAACACACCCAAAGACAACAAAACUCAAACAAUACCAAAAAAGGAAAAAAGUCACAUCACACGCAACAGAACUCUAAACACACUCAAACGCAACAUAAGAUUAAUAUAUUUCUCUAUUGGUACUUUGAGAUUCUGUUGCCAAGUCAAUUUCAGUUUCGUACUUUGAUGCCUAUUCCCUACAAGCAGUGUCCUGCUUACGAAAAUUAUUUAGAUAUCAGGUAUGUUUCUUUAUAUACUUCCCUGUGAAGGGAAGCGCUCAGUGAUUAUUCAAAAUCCAAGAUAAGACUUUUUAAGGUGAAGUUUCUCUGUUUUUCCUCAUUUACUUUUGCUUCAUACUUUCUUAUCAAUACACACGUUCAAAAUUUCAGCUGUGAACAUUGUUUCCUUUUCAAGAUUAACAGUAAAAACAAGAGCAAAGCAGUUUCACCCCGGCUUGGAUCAGACUUAGUAAUAUUUCCAGUAACUAUUUCCAGUAUUUUUUUUUUUUUUCCAACCAAACAUUAAAAUUAAAAUAUAACUCCACGGUUGGUUGCCCAACCCGGAGGAUAAGAGUUUACAAAGGUAAAAAUAUUUCCAGUAAUUUUCUUCAUGAGCUCUUUUAUUGUGUUUUAUUUUAUUUAUUUAGUAACUGCUAUUAGAAUGGUUUUGUAUCAAGAUGGAGGACUCCUAAGCCGAAAAUAACUAAACUUAGGAAAGUGAUUCAAUUGUCUCGGAAAAAAUCAAGGAUCAGAUAGAGGAUUGAUAAGCGGAAAAGAAGCAAAUUUAAGAUAGCCAUUUAGCUUCCCCGAAAGAAGAAGGUCAGAUCUCGAUUUGCAAGGUACAAUACUAACGAAGCCAGGGAUCAUAAUCUAUUAACUGGAGAGUCUUUGCAUAUGAGACAAUAAAGACAUAUUCUUCAGUGCUAAGUGCCAUUAGUAACAAGAAGCCAUUUUACGAAGUCUGCAAGGACAAAAGAUGUAAGGCUAAGGUUUUCUUUGCCAUUAGUAACAAAAAGCCAUUCUUUGAAGUCUACAGGGACAGAAGAUGUAAGGUUAAGCUUAAUUUUCUUCUUUCAGGUGAAGUCUUGGCUCAGUAAAGAAAAGAAAAUGAGGGGUCGUAUCUCCUACUUCAUGCAGUUUUGUGCUCCAAAAGAACCAAAAUUCAGAAGGUCCUCUUGACAGGUUAUUGGACAAAAAAAACACAGCACACGACAAAACUAGCACAAAAGGGACUUCACGAUCAGUAACUUCCUUUAUUGUGAAUUAAACUAAGUACUUUUUAUGCUACUCUAAAAGUGAAAUUCAAGCCACUACAAGCGAAAUCGUGUCCUGCAUACUUUUUAUGCUACUAUAAGUUAUGGACAUUGCUUCUUUGUCAAGAUUAAUAGAAACAACAGGAGCAGGCAAAUACUGGCUUGGAUCAGACUUAAAUGGCUUUGUAUCAGGAUGGAGGACUCUUAAGCUGAAAAUAACUAAACUUAGGAAAGUGAUUCAUUUGCCUCGGAAAAAGGAAGGGUAAGAUAAUGGAAUCUUAAGCGUCUAAGAACCUAAUUUAAGAAAACCAUUCAGUCUGCCCGAGGAAAGAAGGGUCAGGAACAAAGAGGUAAUCAAUAUAUUUGUGUUUAUAUUUGUCAAUGUUUUCUUUGUCAGUUUUGAGGUGAACUUUCUCAUUUACUUUUUCUUUAUACAAAACGCUUAUAAAGACAUACUUUGCAAAGGAGAAAAUUAACACAAAAAUAAUUGGUUUCAAUCAUACUUUGUAAACCUUUUUCAGUAUCACUAUGAACGAUUAUUAUUGUUUUCAGCUAUGGUCAAGCAGUCAAAUCUAGGCUUGGAUCAGCUCAAGUAAGAUUUCCAGUAAAGUACAUUGGUGUUACUUUUAUUCUUUUAUUUUCACAGACACGAAAACACACACGUUCACGGACACAAUACAACACAAUGCACUCAAAACUCAAAACACACCCAAAGACAACAAAAAUCACAGACACGAAAACACACAAAAUGAAAACACACACGUUCACGGACACAAUACAACACAAUGCACUCAAGACUCAAAACACACCCAAAGACAACAAAACUCAAACAAUACCAAAAACGGAAAAAGUCACAUCACACGCAACAAAACUCUAAACACACUCAAACGCAACAUAAGAUUAAUAUAUUUCUCUAUUGGUACUUUGAGAUUCUGUUGCGAAGUCAAUUUCAGGUAAAGUAUCUUGCUCUUCCCAGUUCUCUUUCUUUUCUUAUUCCUUAACUUUUCAUCAUUUUGUUAGUCACAUUCAAUUUUAGUAUGUUUUGUUUGCAUUUUCGUACUUUGAUGUCCUUCUUACGAGAAUUAUUUAGAUAUCAGAUACUGUAUGUAUCUUUUUGUGCUUCCAUGUGAAGGGAAGCGCUCAGUGAUGAUUCAAAAUCCAAGAUAAGACUUUUAAGUGUUUCCUUUUCAAGAUUAACAGAAACAACAUGAGCAAAGCAGUCGCGCCACGGCUUGGAUCAGACUUGGAUGGUUUUGUAUCAAGAUGGGGGACUUCUAAGCUGAAAACAACUAAACUUAGGAAGGUGAUCCAGUUGCCUCAGAAAAAGGGAAGGAUCAGGUAGAUAGACUAUCUUCAUCCCUUUUCAGAGUUUUUGUAGUUUUUGAAAAAAUAGAGGAUUUAUAAGCGGAAAAGAACCAAAUUUAAGAGAGCCAUUCAGCCUCCCUGAAAGAAGAAGAUCAGGUAGAUAAGCACACAUUGAUACAAUGUUUUUUCUGGAAAAGUCUGAUGUGUUUAAGUGAUCUAUUAAUUUGCAGAACUAAUAAAAUCUAUCAUAUUAAUUCUCUAUUAGAUCUCGAUUUGCAAGGUACAAUACUAACAAAGUCAGGGAUCAUAAUCUAGUAGUUGGAGAGUCUUUUUUUGUUGACUCUCCGUAAUAUAUUCUUCAGUGCUAAGGUGACUAAAUUUCUUCGUCUCCUCUUACUCAACAUGACAUUUUAUUGUUGUGUGUAUAUCAUUUUUUUCUUGUUGUGUGUAUAUCAUUUUUUCAGUACAUGUAUUAGCAUUGCAUACAGUUUCAGAUUAGCUAUUCGUAUUUUACUCUAUGAUGUUAUUAUUACAUAUAUAGUUUCAUAUUGUUUCACUGGUCUUUAGUGUGUUAUAUUUGUACUGAAAUUAGGUAACAAGAUGCCAUUUUACGAAGUCUGCAAGGACAAAAGAUUGUGUUAUUUUUUAGUGUCAUUAGUAACAAGACGCCAUUCUUUGAAGUCUACAGGGACAAAAGAUCUAUGGACAUUGCUUCUUUGUCAAGAUUAAUAGAAACAACAGGAGCAGGCGAAUACUGGCUUGGAUCAGACUUAGAUGGAGGACUCUUAAGCUGAAAAUAACUAAACUUAUGACAGUGAGUUAGUCACCUCGGGAAAAGGAAAGGUAAGGUAGAUAAACUAUCUUCAUCCAUUUUCAGAGUUUCUGUAGUUUUCUUAUGGUCUUGUAUACUGCUAACGUAAUGAUUUUGUACCAAGAUAGUGGAUUCUUAAGCGGAAAAGAACCAAAUUUAAGAAAACCAUUCAGUCUUCCCGAGGAAGAAGAGUAUCACUAUAUGAAGAUUCGGUUUUCAGCUAUGGUUAAGCAGUCAAAUCAAGGCUUGGAUCAGCUCAAAUAUGAUUUGGUAUCAAGAUAUCCUGGCAAGACUAGAAGAAAAAAACAAUCGAGGUAACAAUCAAAUCUCGCAUUAGAGUAGACUCUGCACAAUACGUCGUAAGUUUCUUUCUUAGCUUACAUUUCACUAGUUUUAUUUUAUUUCUUUCUUAGCUUACAUUUCAGUAGUUUUAUUUUAUUGUUCCGUAUUUUCAGUUAGAUAAUUAGUGUCCUGAUCACUUUGCUUUCUAUAAAUUUACUGCUAACAGAAUAGUUUUCUUUGAGGAUUUUUAGGCUGAGAAAUAUAACUUCAAGAAGAGAUUUAUGGAACUACCAAUGAAGAGAAAAUGAAAGGUCUUAGCCUCUGAGCUACACAAAGGGCGAGAUAACUCUCUUAUUUAUAACUCGUUUGGGUUGCCCACACUCGAUCACAAUUAAAAUCAACUUGAAGCACAAAAACUCAGACCACGCGCGCUUUUAACAAAUUAAAAUUAAAAAAAAUUUCAUCAACAAAUCACAACACGAGAAAGAGCGAAACAAAUACAUCACACACGAUACACACGAGUUCCGAAACACACGCAAACGAAGCAAACGAAACAAACUCAAAUACAACAUAAGGAACGAACGAGCAUGAAAAUUGAGAACACACACACAAACAUCAAACUAAAUCAAAGACAACGACGUGUGAGUUUGUAAAACCAGUCCCAUACAAGGUAAGAGUAGUAAGACGUUGUAAAACCAAUAAACACAUUCUUUAACAAUAAAAUUAUGUUAUAUAGCUUUAUAAAAUCACCUUUGCCCAAAAAAAAAAAAAAAAAAAGCUUUAUAAAAUCAAAUCGCCUUGACCGCUUUAAAUCGCAUCGGCUACGCAAUAUUGUAUUUUAAUUUUAUUGUGUACGUACUGUGCUUCUUGUUAAUGAUUAAUUAUGGAUGUAUGUAAUGUUCAAAUUAAUAAUGUACAAUAAAAUAUUAAUAUUUUUGUAGCUUUAUAUAUAAGUUGAUUGAUGUUAGUACAUACUAUUUUUUUUGUUUUUGAAUGUUAGUAAUAUUUAGAAUGAUUUCUGUUCUUUUUUUGGCAGCACUAAAAUUAUAUUUAGGCUAAAAACAUAUGUUGUUUGCGACAAUAUGUGAGAUUUCCAAUUAAUUUCCUCACUUAGUCAUCUCCAUUAAGGUUUCUUAACCUAAAUUUCUUAGAAUAGACAGAGAAAAAUUAUUAAUAAAAAAUUGUUUGAGUUUCUUAAAUAUGUUUUAAAGUUUCUUAGAUAAGAGGUUUUAGAAACUUUGGAGAGAGUUAUUACACUAUUUAAGAAACUCAUCAAAUUAAAUAAUAAUAUUUGUAUGAUUUUCAUUUGUAAGAAACUUAUAUCAAGAUCUAUUGAUGGAGAUGACCUCAACCCCCAACCACACCAAAGGUUACUAGCAAGACCAGGUUGGUGUUGGUAGA